rnacentral:snoRNA from 1 species
CCUUAUCCUGAUGAUACACACUUUUUACUUUAUUCUGGUACCUCUUAUGUUAAGGUCCUUCGGGACUUGAUGAAUUAAACGGACUUCUGAAA